rnacentral:rRNA from 1 species
GGCGUUAAGUUGCAGGGUAUAGACCCGAAACCCGGUGAUCUAGCCAUGGGCAGGUUGAAGGUUGGGUAACACUAACUGGAGGACCGAACCGACUAAUGUUGAAAAAUUAGCGGAUGACCUGUGGCUGGGGGUGAAAGGCCAAUCAAACCGGGAGAUAGCUGGUUCUCCCCGAAAGCUAUUUAGGUAGCGCCUCGUGAAUUCAUCUCCGGGGGUAGAGCACUGUUUCGGCUAGGGGGCCAUCCCGGCUUACCAACCCGAUGCAAACUGCGAAUACCGGAGAAUGUUAUCACGGGAGACACACGGCGGGUGCUAACGUCCGUCGUGAAGAGGGAAACAACCCAGACCGCCAGCUAAGGUCCCAAAGUCAUGGUUAAGUGGGAAACGAUGUGGGAAGGCCCAGACAGCCAGGAUGUUGGCUUAGAAGCAGCCAUCAUUUAAAGAAAGCGUAAUAGCUCACUGGUCGAGUCGGCCUGCGCGGAAGAUGUAACGGGGCUAAACCAUGCACCGAAGCUGCGGCAGCGAACGUAUCACCCAAGACAACUUUACGGAGUUGACGAUUGACGGAGCGAAGCGACGUCAAAGCGUUCAUUAAAGUCGAGUUGGCUUAGGGAUACGUUCGUUGGGUAGGGGAGCGUUCUGUAAGCCUGUGAAGGUGUGUCGUGAGGCAUGCUGGAGGUAUCAGAAGUGCGAAUGCUGACAUAAGUAACGAUAAAGCGGGUGAAAAGCCCGCUCGCCGGAAGACCAAGGGUUCCUGUCCAACGUUAAUCGGGGCAGGGUGAGUCGACCCCUAAGGCGAGGCCGAAAGGCGUAGUCGAUGGGAAACGGGUUAAUAUUCCCGUACUUGGUGUUACUGCGAAGGGGGGACGGAGAAGGCUAUGUUGGCCGGGCGACGGUUGUCCCGGUUUAAGCGUGUAGGUGUGUGUUCCAGGUAAAUCCGGUUCACUUUAACACUGAGGCGUGACGACGAGGCACUACGGUGCUGAAGCAACAAAUGCCCUGCUUCCAGGAAAAGCCUCUAAGCAUCAGGUAACACGAAAUCGUACCCCAAACCGACACAGGUGGUCAGGUAGAGAAUACCAAGGCGCUUGAGAGAACUCGGGUGAAGGAACUAGGCAAAAUGGUGCCGUAACUUCGGGAGAAGGCACGCUGACACGUAGGUGAAGUGAUUUACUCAUGGAGCUGAAGUCAGUCGAAGAUACCAGCUGGCUGCAACUGUUUAUUAAAAACACAGCACUGUGCAAACACGAAAGUGGACGUAUACGGUGUGACGCCUGCCCGGUGCCGGAAGGUUAAUUGAUGGGGUCAGCGCAAGCGAAGCUCCUGAUCGAAGCCCCGGUAAACGGCGGCCGUAACUAUAACGGUCCUAAGGUAGCGAAAUUCCUUGUCGGGUAAGUUCCGACCUGCACGAAUGGCGUAAUGAUGGCCAGGCUGUCUCCACCCGAGACUCAGUGAAAUUGAACUCGCUGUGAAGAUGCAGUGUACCCGCGGCAAGACGGAAAGACCCCGUGAACCUUUACUAUAGCUUGACACUGAACAUUGAGCCUUGAUGUGUAGGAUAGGUGGGAGGCUUUGAAGUGUGGACGCCAGUCUGCAUGGAGCCGACCUUGAAAUACCACCCUUUAAUGUUUGAUGUUCUAACGUGGACCCGUAAUCCGGGUUGCGGACAGUGUCUGGUGGGUAGUUUGACUGGGGCGGUCUCCUCCUAAAGAGUAACGGAGGAGCACGAAGGUUGGCUAAUCCUGGUCGGACAUCAGGAGGUUAGUGCAAUGGCAUAAGCCAGCUUGACUGCGAGCGUGACGGCGCGAGCAGGUGCGAAAGCAGGUCAUAGUGAUCCGGUGGUUCUGAAUGGAAGGGCCAUCGCUCAACGGAUAAAAGGUACUCCGGGGAUAACAGGCUGAUACCGCCCAAGAGUUCAUAUCGACGGCGGUGUUUGGCACCUCGAUGUCGGCUCAUCACAUCCUGGGGCUGAAGUAGGUCCCAAGGGUAUGGCUGUUCGCCAUUUAAAGUGGUACGCGAGCUGGGUUUAGAACGUCGUGAGACAGUUCGGUCCCUAUCUGCCGUGGGCGCUGGAGAACUGAGGGGGGCUGCUCCUAGUACGAGAGGACCGGAGUGGACGCAUCACUGGUGUUCGGGUUGUCAUGCCAAUGGCACUGCCCGGUAGCUAAAUGCGGAAGAGAUAAGUGCUGAAAGCAUCUAAGCACGAAACUUGCCCCGAGAUGAGUUCUCCCUGAGACUUAGAGUCUCCUGAAGGAACGUUGAAGACGACGACGUUGAUAGG